rnacentral:rRNA from 1 species
AUUGAACGCUGGCGGCAUGCUUUACACAUGCAAGUCGAACGGCAGCGCGGUCUUCGCUCUGGCGGCGGGUGGCGGACGGGUGGGUAAUGCAUCGGAACAUGGGCAGCUGUUUGUGCGUGCGGGGCGAAAGCCGGAUUAAUACCGCAUAAGAGCUGACGGUGAAAGCGGGGGAGCGGAAGGUCUUGCGCCCUUGGGCGGUCCGAUGUCGGAUUAGCUAGUUGGUGGGGUAAAGGCGUACCAAGGCGACGAUCCGUAGCUGGUCUGAGAGGACGAGCAGCCACACUGGGACUGAGACACGGCCCAGACUCCUACGGGAGGCAGCAGUGGGGAAUUUUGGACAAUGGGGGCAAGCCUGAUCCAGCCAUGCCGCGUGCGGGAAGAAGGCCUUCGGGUUGUAAACCGCUUUUGUUCGGGAAGAAAUCCUGUGGGCUAAUACCCCGGGGUGAUGACGGUACCGGAAGAAUAAGCACCGGCUAACUACGUG